AUGAGCCACCUCCCCACCAGACCGCAUCGCCGAGAAGUUGGGGCACCCUGCGCCCUGGCCCCCUCACCUCCGCCGCGCUGCUCCAUGCUCAGCCCGGGGCCGCCCCAGCACUCCACAGGCGCGCCGCUCGCUCCAGCCCGCGCGCGCGCGCGGCCACUCGGAGCUGCCCGGAGCUGCCCGGCCGGCCCGGCCGGCCCCGCCUCCGCCCAGCCGGCCCCCGGCCCCGUCCAGCCCCGCCCGGCCCGAGUGGGCGGUGCGCGAGGAGCGGGGGAGGGGUCCGAGGGGCGUCCCCGCCCCGGGGCGCGGACACGCGCCAGCACCCCACGUCACGCGUGCCCGCCAGGGCGCACGCAGGGGCGGCGCGGAGCGGAGCAGAGCCGAGCGGCGGCGCCCACGAUCCCUCCCCGAGAGGCCCCACGACUGCGUUUGUGUCGGGAGACUCGGUCGGCGGGAGACUCGUCGUCGAGCGGGUCAUCCGCUCUCCCUGCCGGGGCCGGAGGGCCGGCGGCAGCCGGUCAUUGUUCCGGCACAAAGAGUCGAGCCGAGGCGCGGCGCCCGCCCCUCCCCCUCCGCUGCUCUCCCCGACGAAGCUUCCCCUCCCCGGUCUCCAGCUUCCCGCUCCGAGAGGAGGCCGAGCGAGGGUCAGCCGUCCCUCUCCGCUCGCCGGCUCCCGGGCACCAGCCGAGGGACUGGCUCGGGCGCUUGCCUGUCCCACCCCCAGCAGGCUGGAGGUCACCCACUCGGAUCUUCAGAAGCGGCGCCACCUGGCGGCCCCUUCCAGCCACCUACCAGCGCCCCCCGCCCCACCCCAGCCCCUCACCAGUCCCACUCCCUUCCCCUCCAGAGCCGCUCCCUCAGGCCGCGAGCCUGGGCAUGUCCCUGGCAUGGCUCCAGGCUCCCCAGCCUAACCUCGGGGUCACGGGCUAUGAGAAAGGUCGCUGCUCAAACCGGGGGGGGGGGGGGGCUGGUGUUUGCACCUGGCCCUCAGUAAUGGCAAGAGCGAACGGUUCAAACCUACACUGGCUCUGCAGCAGACAUCCCAGUGUCUUUCUCAGGGUCACACAUAUGUUUACCCUUUCGAAAACAGCAGUCUUAACACCCACAAGACCUUUCCCACACUCGGUGUCAGGCAGCCGCGGUCACUGUCUCGUCCGUCACGUGGUUCCACAUCCCUUCAUUCCAUAA
rnacentral:lncRNA from 1 species